GCGGACCGAUGGGAGCUUGCUCCCUGAGGUCAGCGGCGGAGGGUGAGUAACACGUGGGUACCUGCCUGUAAGACUGGGAUAACUCCGGGAAACCGGGGCUAAUACCGGAUGCUUGAUUGAACCGCAGGUUCAAUUAUAAAAGGUGGCUUCUGCCUUCCACUAACGAAGGGCCCCCGGCCCAAUAACUUGGUUGUGAAGGAACCGCCCCACCAGGGCAACAAUCCGAACCCAACCGGAAAGGUGAAUGGGCCCCCCGGGAACGAAACCCCGCCCAAAAUCCCACCGGAAGGAACCAUUAGGAAACUUCCCCCAUGGAACAAAGUCCGAACGAACCACCCCCCCGGGGUU
rnacentral:rRNA from 1 species